CCCUUAGAUGUUCUGGGCCGCACGCGCGCUACACUGAUGCAUUCAACGAGCCUAUCCUUGACCGACAGGUCCGGGUAAUCUUUGAAUCUGCAUCGUGACGGGGAUAGAUUAUUGCAAUUAUUAGUCUUCAACGAGGAAUGCCUAGUAGGCGCAAGUCAUCAGCUUGCGUCGAUUACGUCCCUGCCCUUUGUACACACCGCCCGUCGCUCCUACCGAUUGGGUGUGCUGGUGAAAUGUUCGGAUCGGCCGUUUGUCGCGGUUUCCGCGGCUCGUGGCUGAGAAGUUCAUUAAACCCUCCCACCUAGAGGAAGGAGAAGUCGUAACA
rnacentral:rRNA from 1 species